CCUCCUCGCGCACACAGACACACACACUGACGCACAUGUCAGCGCCUCCAUAACCGAGAAUGCAAAAGCACACAGUCUGAAAUCAAAGCUGAAACUCUCUCUGCCAUCUGCAGUGGUUCGCCGAUCUACGCGUUUAUCACCAUAAAAAAAAGUGCCAAAACUUUUUUUGCAUUGCGAUAAAACUACAGACUAUUUUAUUUUAAAUGUAUAUAUUGUUUUCUUUAUCACUUAAUAUAUGUUAGUGUUGCACAAAUUCUAGCAAGGCUAGAAAAAAAGCACAUGAAAACGUUUUUUAAAAAUAGUUUUCUUUCUGUUAUCGUGAUUUAAUUGUGAAGCAGGCAGGAGCCUGGACUGUUUGCACUCCACGCAUAGCCAUGGUGAGUUACUCAAGUUGCAAACAGUCCUCUUUUAGCUCUAGUGCUCUAUUUUUAUUCAUCUUGACCUGAGCCUUCAACGCCGUUUUUAACAGCCUGUUGAUGUAUCUUUUACGCUGAUGACGUCGUCCUCCUUCCUGAAUCUGAAUAAUGGCUCAUCUGUAAAGCAGGAUCUCAGUUGGUGAUUUUUGUCCUUUCUUUUUCGUUUUUCUAGCUCACUGAUGUCAUAUUUAUGUGAGUCGUCUCCAUUUGCUCUAACUCCGAGUUAAAAUGUGGAUCGAAAACAAUGUAAACUCACAAGAUCACAUGUGAGGUUCCUCAAGGCUGUACUCUGGGGCCACUUUACUUCAACAUACGUAGUCCCACUGCAUUACCUCUUUCCUUUCAUAUGCCAAUGUAACAAAUCCAAUGUUUUUUGUCACCACAUUACCGUAUUUGAAUCAUUGUGUCAUGAUAUUAAUAAAUGGAUGAGUAGGAAGCAGAGGUCACCGUUUUUGGUGCCCAAAACUCUUAUUAAAGUGAAAGAUCGUCGUGCUAAAUCCUACAGCGAACGCAAGCAAUUUAAGGGCAAAAUAAUACUGAUAAGAAAGCAUUGUUACUGUUUGAUUUUAUCGUCAACAGGCUUAAUUUGAUAGUCUCCGCAAAAACAAAAAAAAAAAACAGGCAGCUGCACUGGCCACCUGUUUGUAAACAGGGUAGAUCUAUCCCAUAUACAGACCAUCAGAGAUGUUCACUCAGACUGUUUUCACUGGACUAGAACUAAACAAGAGGAGACAGAUGGGAGUUUCUACACUUCUAGGCUGUGG